UACGAACUGUGCGAACGUUAUUCGGAAUCACUGGGCUUACAGGGUGCGUAGGCGGCUUGUUAAGUAGGGUGUGAAAGCCCCCGGCUCAACCGGGGAAUGGCGCCCUAAACUGGCGAGCUGGAGUGAGAUAGGGGUGUGUGGAACUUCAGGUGGAGCGGUGAAAUGUGUUGAUAUCGGAAGGAACGCCGGUGGCGAAAGCGACACACUGGAUCUUGUCUGACGCUGAGGCACGAAAGCCAGGGGAGCGAACGGG
rnacentral:rRNA from 1 species